CAUUGGGCUACCUUGGGCUCUCCGCAGUAGCCGAGCUUAACAUGAUUCUCCACUGCAGCUGCCUCUUUGAAGCGGAUCCGUGAAGUAGAAAUUUGGAGACGUAAGCUGACGUGGAAAUCUAUCCCCAUCCUUAGCAGGGAGGUGCUGGUCAUGUGACCCGAUGUUGAAAUUGACAAGCUGGGAGCUAGUCCGGGCCUUUUUUUCCCCCUUUCCUUUUUUUUCCCCUCCCCUCCCUCCCCGGCUUCCUUUCUUUGUAGCCACCUCAGGGGAAGCAACAGAUCGUCACUCGGUGUUCUCACCGAAAGCACGUAAUCGCCGGUGUAACUCAUGUUGGCUGGGGGGCCUCCCGGCGCGCCGCGGAGGCUGGGGUGCGCCCCCAUGCCGCACGCUUGUGCUCAGUUGCACGGUCCUGGUCUUUAAGUGAGGGCUGCGAGAGCUCAACUCCCCCCCACCCCCACUCCCGGGUGGGUGAGGGGUGUCCCGGGCUGGGGAUGGCCAGGUGGGAGCUGGCGCUGUGUGGCCUAUGGUCUCGGAGGAGUCGGCUCUCCAAGAGGCUCGCGUCUGCACCCGUUUUUUCUCAGCCCCCCUCCCACAGGCUUGCUCUGGGUCGCACCUCCACCUCCGACCAUGGCCGGACCCCCUUCGGGGCCAGGGUUCGCAGCCGUGGAUGUGCCGGCCCCAUGGCUUGUCCGAUUUGCACGGUGACUUGAUUACACGCUCGCAUUCAUGGUCACUUCCGAAGCGCUUUAGUGCCUUCCGUCCCUAAACCGCCAACAGCCAGGGCGGCUUCUCCCCGCGGUUUGUCAAUGAUCCGCAGGGCCCGGAAGGGCCUUCGUCUUACCCGGGAUCCACUCCUCCCUUCAUCUUCCCUGCCUGCCUCUUCACCCCACCCCCACCCCCGCCCCCGCCCUUGGAUAACCCCCUUCCUCCUCGCUGCCUGCCGGGGUUCGGAGAGACUGGACAGAGACAGAGGCACCGGGGCUGCGCCGCUGCUCACCGGUCCUCCCGCCUGCCUGGUCUUCUGGAGCUGAGGACUCAGGAAACCAUGCAACUGAGGCAAGCCUUGGGCUGCUUUAGAGGCGCUGACAUCCGAGGAGACUUCCCCUGGGGUCAAAUCGAGAGGGUGCCGGCAGGUCUGGAUCCCUUGGGUGUCUGCAGGAGACAAAGGCGAAUUCCAGAGGAAAGGAUGGAGCGGAGAAAGGCGCUCCGGGAACGGCUGGCAGGGCGACUCCGCAGGCUGCAGGGAAGCGGGGUGCCUGGAGGGACUUGCAGCCUGGAAAGGGGCGUGUGGGGGCGCUGCCGCGAAGAUGGAAGAGGAAAAAGGCUUUUGAUAUCAGUAGAAGGGAAAAAGCUUGGAGCGGCCGAAUGCUUUUAGAUCCCCAGCAGGAACAGCCCGGGGGUGCUCAGAUGCCCAAGGCUGCGCGAUGUUCCCAGCUUUGCCCGCUCCUGCCUCUCUUGCGCGGCAUAUACUGGCGGUGCAAAUGUUUCCCCAGGCACGCAGCCUGGGUAAGGGGUGGGCUCAGCUCUGAGGAUCAGACCAAAUCUUGGGGAAGAAGGUGAGGCAGAGCUUCGGGUCCUUGGUUUGACUUUGCUCUGAGCCUAUAAUCGACUCUUCCGCUUUGCAGGAGGUCCAACAGCCAAGCUGAGCCCACCGCGCUCUGGGAAAGACGCGGCCGGGGUUAAGGCCGCCCCGGAAGGCCAAGUCCGAGUUCCAUUUCGUGAAGAGGCCGCAGCAGGCAAGGCUGUGACAUUGGCCCUGGCGACUGGUUUCUCAGGAGCUGUUCUUUCUCAGGAGCUCCACAGCGCGGGGGCCAUCUCCAGAAAACUGUCUUCAGCGUGCAUUUCCUUUUACCGUCAACCCGGAGCCCCACGGCGGCUAAUACAAGAGGCCAAAAAUGUUUGGAGGAAGAAAAACAAAGGCAGGAAGUGGCGGCGGCCUGACGGUCCAGGCAGCCUCCGCAGGGCCGGCCGGCCGCUCCCCGCGCAGCGUUUGGAGGUGGCCACCCGGAGAGGAGGAGGCCGGCGCCCGCGCCAGCCCUGUCAGGCGGAAACGGCUAACAAGGAGAUUUGGUUAGCAAAACAGACCGAGCCUUUCCAAGGCUUCGUGUGACUUGGCCCUAAAGGUUGGGGGGAGGGUGGUGCAGCACCUCCUGGACCCUCCUCAGCCGGUGGAGUACGCCCAGGCGGGGCCGAUGAUCCGUGAGUCUUGCGCUCCACCCGCCUUACCAGGCGGAAUAUCGGAAUAAAGUGUGUCCAGGCGCCUUUGCCGCGAGCGUCCGCUUCUUCUUGCAGCCGGAGGAGGGGGCCCGGCAGCAGUGGGAGGGCGCCGGCGGGCAGUGCCCAGGCAGGGUGGCCUCAGCGCGGUCGGUCAGUGCACCCCGGGCGAUGUGAGGCCUGGUCACUAUGGUCGUUGUACCCGGGGAGUUUCCAGCAGUCAUUCAAGGGACAUGAGCUGCAAUCAUAGUCACUUGAUAGGCAGCUUAACACCCUCUCACUCCAAGGGAGCAUAGAGGCGGGUGGUAGCUGAGCAUCUCCAGACUCCAGGGGUCCCAGCCCCAACUGGAGAGGCUGCUAGGCUUCCCUCUUUUCUACUUAGGCGUGGGGGGCAGCAGCUCCUUUUCUCUCAAAUCUGGGAAUUUGAAGUCCCCAGUGUUUGCACUUGCAGUCCUUUGAAUGCUCAGCGUGUGGUCCAUAGUGUGAAUGCCAAUGCCAAGCUGCCCCCACCUGCCACAGUCCCUUUCCAAGCCAGUCCUGUUCCUCUGCAGCCUCCUGCUCCCCUGUCUCCUGCCCUGCCUCUUUCCAGCUAGUGCCACCUUCUGUGGCCUCCUGUCACAUCUGAUGCCUCCUUAGGCUGAGCAAGAACUGAGGUGCCACUGGAGGGCACCCAGUACUCAGGCACAGGAUGUUAGGUUUCUGACUCUUCCCCCAAUCCGGGCCUCCACCAGAGCCUGAAUUGGGUCUUCUAUUUCCUUUGGAAUACUCAUCUAAAGGCUCCACCAUGUCCGGCUUCUCUCCCACCCUCUCUCCCUCCCUUUCCAACACUUACUCCUCUUCUGGGGACCCAGCUCCUGCUUUUCUAGGCUGGGAAAUCCUGGUGGUAGCUGGUCUGGGAGGAGUUGGGCCCACCUGACAGACUGAAUCUCAUUCCUAGACAUCAAUAAUUUCUCAGUGCAUUGCUUAGGGCACCAUCAACAUUUUGCCUCUUCUUGCUUGGCUGAAACCUUAUUUUCCUCUGUCCACCACUGUCAUAUUGUUUCUAGAAUGCUUAUGCACAAGACUAUUUCAACCCUGGUGACCAUAUUGCACACAGGUACAAGAGUUGGCUGGGAGGCCCUGGGUGAAAACAGCCAUAUAGUCCUUCCUGGUGUUGGAGGCCAGGCCUGCAUUUGGGGACUCACUCCUUCUAAAUAAGGUUUUCUGGGGGGUACAUCCCUCCUCCAUGGAGAGCUGGAGGGUGGGUUGUCUUAGGCAGCCCAGGAGAUAUCCCAGUAUUUGUUCUCAGGGAAUGGUUUAUCGGCAGAUCAUGGCCAAUCCAUCACAUUUGCAGGUGCUACCGAGAGGCAGCACUGAGUCUUCCAUAAAAUAUCAAGAGGUUACCUAUAUCACUACCAGGUGGAGGCAAGAGUGAAUUUGUCCCUUUGUCAAGGCAGCCUCCCCUCUCCCAAGCUCCCCUACACUGUCAUAGUGCACAGGAACAGCUAAUUCCUUGAACUUGAUGUCGUGGUUACUACUUGGUCUGACUAGCAGGUUCAAUCAUCCUAUAAUGCCCCUAAACAUUUGAAGAAGUCCAUGUCUUUUCCUCAGGGAUGGGGGGAACAUAGAACUCAUCUGAGGGUCUCAAGUGUCCAUUCCAAACAUGGGAGAAGAGAUGUUUCCUUGCUUUGAGGAGAACUAUUUUUACUUUUAUUGAUGAGGACUCACUGCAGAUUUUAUUUUUUCCUACAGAAUGGGAACAAAUGGCUUGGGGGAUCUUUGAAAGGUGAAGCACUGGUUCUCAGCCUCCACUUUCCAUUCCCCUGAAAGCUUUGGCCCAAAUGGGUUUCCCCAGCACAGUGUGCCUGAAAUAAAGAGGACAAAAGAGGGUGGCUCAACCAGAAGAUUGGCUCUUGUCUUUGGGUCUCAGUCCCCACAGCUGUGGCUCAGAGGAGUCCCGCUCUCAUACCCCAAACUCCAACUCCUUCAUAGUGCAGGCAGCUUCCAUUUCCACUCAGGACCAGUGGUGGGUCACAUUCCAGACUUGAGAAAAGCCCCCACCCCAUCCAGCCCUGCCCUAGGAGCCUCUCCUUCUUGCCCUGCCAGGCAGUUCUGCAAUGGCAGCCAUUCACAGACAAUCCAUCCCGAUAUCUCUCCCCAUAGUCCAGCCCACCCAUGCAGCCCUAGGCGUAAAACCUAGAUUUUCUGUCUUCCAUUAAAAUAAGUCAUUUGCAGGUCCUGUUGGUUCACUUGGAGAGAGAGGCUCAGUGGCAGAUUGGGCGUAAGCUGUCUGUUUGCCGCUGGGCCUGAUGCUCUGACCUAUUUGCCAAGGCAGGCUGUGGACAGAGGAUAAGGGAGCACAGUGAGGAUUCUUGGGGCCCCGGGGGGUUUGUACCUUGGCAGAGUGCACCUCACUUCUCAGUGCCUAAUUUUAGGCAAGAGAAGAGCAUCAAAGGCCUGCCAUGCACCGAAGGAGGGCUUGGACUCAGGUACCACAGGAGAGGCUUCCCAGUAGCGUCUUGGCUCCUCUAUCCUAUUCCCAGCCAGGCCAACCCUGCCCGGCCUCUUGUUCCUACCAGGACC